UGACCUCAGAUCAGACGUGGUGACCCACCAAAUUUAAGCAUAUUACUAAGCGGAGGAAAAGAAACUAACCAGGAUUCCCUCAGUAACGGUGAGUGAAGAGGGAACAGCCCAGUGCCGAAUCCUUGCCUGGGCGAUGGGUGCAGGAAAAUGUGACAUAUGGAAGUCCAUCUCCCCAGUGCCUCCCAGGGGUAACAAGUCCUUGUGAUAGAGGCUCAGCCCACGGAUGGUGUGAGGCUGGUGACGUCUCCAGUGGGUCGAAAUCAGGUCUUCCCAUAGUCGGGUGUUUGUGAAUGCAGCUCAAAGCAGGUGGUAAACCAUCUAAGGCUAAAGACUGGCACAAGACCAAUAGCAAACUAGUACCUUAAGAGAAAGUCGAAAAGAACUUUGAAGAGAAAGAGUUCAAGAGGGAGUGAAACCUUUCUGAGGUAAAUGGGUGGGCUCUGCAUGGUCCACACAGAGAAUUCAACUCAGUGGCUGUGCCAGCCUCCUGGGUGAGGCGGAGCCCCCUCCCCCUCCAGGGGGUUGGGGACCAUCUCCAGGUGUGGCAGCUGCUGUCGGGCGAACUUCCACGGCGUCGUGCCGCGACCGGCUCUGGGUCAACUGGGAUGGCCAUGUGGAAGGUGACUCACCUCCCUGGAGGGGAGUGUUACAGCCCGUGGUAUCAGCCCUUGCCAUGCCCUGGUGUCAUGGGAGAUGACCCCCACUGUACCCUCCCUCGUCCUUUUUGUGAGGGCCAGGUGCCCACGGUUCCCGGUGGGACUGUCGACUGGGCUGGACUGUCCUCAGUGUGGCCCAACAGCUUCCUGCUGCCAGGCCUGGGGGCUCAUCUUGGGUGCCUGGGUCCAUGGCGAUGUUGGUGACCCACCUGUUCCAUCUUGAAACACUGACCAAGGAGUAUAACAGGUUUGUGAGUUCAAGGGUGAGCAGGAGACCCCAUAGUGCAAUGAAAGUAAGGGCCAGUGAGUGACGGUUGAGGCAGGAUCCCCCCACCCUACACCCCCCAUGAAGGAUGGAGGGAGCCUCCCCACCCUGUAUGUGGGGUGCACUGCUGGCCUGUCUCACCCAUCCCAUCAGGGAGGUGGAAUGUGAACGUACCUGGUGGGACCCGAAAGAUGGUGAACUAUGCCUGGGCAGGACAAAGCCAGAGGAAACUCUAGUGGAGGUCCAUAGUGGUUCCAAUGUGCAAAUCGGUCAUCUGAUCUGAGUACAGGGGUGAAAGACUAAUCAAAGCAUGUAGUAGCUGGUUCCCUCCAAAGUUUCCCUCAGGAUAGCUGUCACUCAGCAGAUGCAGUUUUAUUUGGUAAAGCGAAUAAUUAGAGGUCUUGGGGAUGAAACAAUCAUAAUCUAUUUUCAAACUUUAAAUGGGUAAGAAGCCUGACUCACUGGCUUGGAGCCGGGUGUGGAAUGUGAGCACCCAGUGGGCCACUUUUGGUAAGCAGAACUGGUACUUUGGAAUGAAGCGAACGCCGGGUUAAUGUGCAUGAUGCCGAUGCACAUCAGAUCCCAGAAAAUGUGUUGGUUGAUAUAGACAGCAGGAUGGUGGCCAUGGAAGUCGGAAUCCACUAAGGAGUGUGUAACAACUCACCUGCCGAAUAAACUGGCCCUGAAAAUGGAUGGUGCUGGAACGUCAGGCCCUUACCAAGGCCAGCGUUGGGAGGCAAGGGGGCUAUGCUGUGAUGAUUAGGAGGGCUGCUGCAUUGUCACUGAAGCCCACGGUGAGGGCCUGGUUAGAGCAGCUGCGGGUGCAGAUCUUGGUGGUAGUAUCAUAUAUUUAAAUAAGAACUUUGAAGGCUGAAGUGGAGAAGGUUUCCAUGUGAACAGCAGUUAAACAUGGGUCAGUCGGUCAUGAGAGAAAGGUGAGUACUGUUCCAAAGGGACGGGCAAUGGCCUCCAUCACCCUCAGCUGAUCGAAAGAGAGUUGGGUUCAGAUCCCCAAAUCUGGAGUGGCGGAGAUGGAUGCUUCACGGUGUCCAGUGCCGUGAUGCAAACAAUCCUAGAGAAGCUGGCAGGGGCCCCUGGGAGAAUUCUCCUUUCUUUGUAAAGGGCUGGGUGCCCUGGAAUGGGUUUGCCAAGAGAGAGGGGUCUGCGUCCUGGAAAGUGUUGCGGUCCCAGCAGUGUCAGGUGAGCUCUCACCAGCCCUUGAAAAUCUGGGGGAGAGGGUGUAAGUCUCACACCAGGCAGUACUCAUAUCUGCAUCAGGUCUCCAAGGUGAACAGCCUUUGGCAUGUUAGAACAAUGUAGGUAAGCGAAGUUGGCAAGCCAGAUCCGUAACUUCGGGAUAAGAAUUGGCUCUAAGGGCUGGGUCAGUUGGGCUUGGGUAUGAAGUGGGGCUGGGCAUGUGCUGCAGCUGGAUGAGGCAUCACCCCUUGCCAUGCCCCCCCCCUCCUGGGGGGGGCCGGGUGGACAGAGAAGGUGACCCUGGAUGCACGCGAGGCCCUUUCUGUGGAUCACUCUGGCUGUGGCAGGCACCAGUCCUGAUCGGCAUCCCACAUCAUCUGGC